ACGCUGGUCUACUCCACACCUCUUCGACAUCCCUAUCUCCUCGCUGUGGCCCCAACGCCCUCUCUUCUUACUGGUGCACCAACCUUUUCUUGUUUGCUCCGCUGCUCCAUUCGCACAACGCCCUCGCCCCCCCCUUUCCUCUCCCAUACAACCCUCCAGGUCAACCGACAACUCACACGCAGUACGCUCAGUGAUACAUCGCGUUGCGGGUUCCUCCUCUUUUGGUGUAUGUUGAGCUCUUGUCGUUGCCCACGCAACCCUCCCCCUCCCUGUCUUCUUUCGUUGUCGAUAUUUGCCCGUCACUGAGGAGGGUCGUCAUCAUCCCUUUUUCGUCUAGCUCGUCCUGUGUUGAUCCCCUUCCCUUCGUGUUCUCCGUCUUUUUCCCUUGGGCGUGCUAAACCGUGGUCGCGCCACCACCUCGCGCUGCAACCAGCAUGGCGUCUGUAGUUGGCAAAGUCUUCUCUGGCAUGAGCCAGGUCGCCGUCGUGUGCGGGCUCGUCGGCGCCGUCUACUACCGCCGCGAGUACGGCAACAUGGCCACCGACGACGCCAGCACCGCUCACUCGCUCAUCACCUUCUCCAGGGACGACCGCCGCGACAUUUACGACGUCGCCAUCGUCGGCGGUGGCAUCGUCGGCGUCGCCACGGCACGCGAGAUACGGCAAAAGUACCCCAGAAAGCGCGUCAUCCUCAUCGAGCGCGAGGCCGAUGUGGCGCAGCACCAGUCCGGCCACAACAGCGGCUGCCUCCAUGCCGGGAUGUUCUACCCGCCCGGCUCCGCCAUGGCGCGCUUGUGCCCCCGCGGCCACAGUCUGAUCAUCGACUACUGCAAGAAGAACAAGCUUCCCUAUGAGCUGUGCGGCAAGAUUGUCGUCGCCACAGAGGACAGCCAGCGCCCAACCGUUCAGCGCAUGUACGACUGGGGUGUUGCGAACGGUGUCAAGGGGCUCGAGAUCCUUGAAGGCGAGGAAGCUAUCAAAAAGAAGGAGCCACUGGUGACCGGUGUCUCUGCUUUGUGGUCCCCCGUUUCGGGCAUCAUUGACUUUUCGGAAGUCACGCGCUGCAUGCUGCGUGAGCUGACGGCCCACGCCAAGAACAACUUCGCCACACAGUUCCAAUUCGAUGCUCAGGACUUCGUGGGCGUGUCGGUCACGAAAUCGAAGGGUGCGGGCACGGAGGAGAUGGUCCUCAUUCGCGGCCGCGAGAAGAACCACCUGGGGCCGGAGAAGACCAUCUUGGCAAAGAACGUUAUCACUUGCUGUGGCCUCGACAGCGACGUGGUGGCGAAGCACUCUGGUGGCAUUGUGGAGUGGCUGGGUAAGCGUGUGAUGCAGACAUAUGGCUUUCGCGGGCGGUAUUACCAGCUGACGCCGGAGCGCCGCGACAUGGUGCGCAUGCACGUGUACCCGUGUCCCGAUACCCGCAAAGGCUUGAGCGUCGGUGUGCAUUUCACUCCGACAGUGGAUGUGCGCCGUGGACGCCAGGUGAUUAUUGGGCCAGGCUCUGCGCUGGCGCUGGAUCGCUAUGGCUACACCCCUUACGCGAUCGACCUUGAGUACUGCUUCAACUGCGCCUUUAGCAAGGGCGGCUGGGUGAGUCUCGUCUCCAAUUUCGAUGUCAUCUUCCAGACGUACUACAUGGACAUCAGCAAGCGGCAGUUCCUUCGCGAGGCACAAAAGCUCAUCCCCUCCAUCGAGGCGAAGGACAUCGUGGACAGCUACUGCGGUGUCAUGGCUGUCGGCGUGGCGGAGGAUGGCACUCUCAGCAUGGAUCUCGCGAUGGAGUUUGCACGGCCGCGUGUGACGGUACCGGCGACGAUGGACAAGAAGAUGCUGCUAGAGGCGAUCAAAGAUGCGCCGCACUCUGGCAAGGGCCUUGAGGCGUCUGACAGCUCAAAGCCGCUCAUCCUGAACGUUCGCAACGCGCCGAGUCCGGCCGCCACUGCGUCCAUGGCGAUUGCUGAAGACAUUGUGAAGGCCGCCAGCUCGCGAUUCCAAUGGUAGCGGUCUUGCAAUGUCAUGGCUUUACUGAAGUGUAACGCGAGUUUUUCUGUACAUACUCCCCUUCCGCGUGCUUCUCUCUCUCUUCCUUUUUUUUUGGGGGGGUGAGGGGAGGGUGGGUAUCCCUCUACAACUCAAACGUACUUCUGUGUGUGUGCGUGUGUGUGCUUUAUUGUUGUUUUUUCUUUUUGCCCCCCCCCCCCCUUGCUACCGGUGCCGUGCUACCUUCUGCUUUUCGAGUGGCGCGGUGAUCUCUCCCCAACUUUCCAAUGAAGAGUCCUUGAUCGUGGCGCAAGACUGGCCCCUUUUUUUUGUAGUGGUGGGGGGAGAGGGGAAGGGCGUUGGGGGUUAGGUGGUCGCUGGGUGGGUCCCGGGGUGCGCGAACCGUGCUGGUUUGAAGUAGUAGUAGGGCAGCUUACUCGCCGCAUGGAUGAAAGAGUUCGACAAGGGCACCGCCUGGACGACAGGUGGCAGGUGCUCUUUACUUGCCCGCCUUACACCCACCCUCGUAGCAGCCCAGAGGUCAUACUCGCUUGAAAACCGGUCUUUCUCGAGGGAAAGAGCGCUUGGCGUAUACCGGUGCACUUGGUGCGUCGUUGACUGACAUGUGUUCUGCUGUUGUUUGGUUCGUUUUUUUUCUCCCUUUCUGCCUCUCGCUCUACUCCCGUUUCAUGGCCAAAGGACAAAUCCAUUCCUAGCGCCUCCAUUUCCCCCUCUCCGAGUGAUGAGGAGAGGCAUGAUCACCUACGCGACACCAUCGCAGGCAUGCAUACAUGUGCGUCGAAGGUGGUUUCGAGUGCUCGUUUUCUUCUUCUAUCGUUGUGGCAAUGACACCUUGGACAGGCCGCAGAUCUCAUUGACGUCUGUGUUAUGAUCUCUCCUCCGCUCCCCCACCCUGGUCCCUUGCCCAACUCUGUGCAUCUCGCGUUCCUCUCCCUCAG
rnacentral:misc_RNA from 1 species